UUAAAUUGAAGAGUUUGAUCAUGGCUCAGAUUGAACGCUGGCGGCAGGCCUAACACAUGCAAGUCGAACGGUAACAGGAAGCAGCUUGCUGCUUCGCUGACGAGUGGCGGACGGGUGAGUAAUGUCUGGGAAACUGCCUGAUGGAGGGGGAUAACUACUGGAAACGGUGGCUAAUACCGCAUAACGUCGCAAGACCAAAGAGGGGGACCUUCGGGCCUCUUGCCAUCAGAUGUGCCCAGAUGGGAUUAGCUUGUUGGUGAGGUAACGGCUCACCAAGGCGACGAUCCCUAGCUGGUCUGAGAGGAUGACCAGCCACACUGGAACUGAGACACGGUCCAGACUCCUACGGGAGGCAGCAGUGGGGAAUAUUGCACAAUGGGCGCAAGCCUGAUGCAGCCAUGCCGCGUGUAUGAAGAAGGCCUUCGGGUUGUAAAGUACUUUCAGCGGGGAGGAAGGUGUUGUGGUUAAUAACCGCAGCAAUUGACGUUACCCGCAGAAGAAGCACCGGCUAACUCCGUGCCAGCAGCCGCGGUAAUACGGAGGGUGCAAGCGUUAAUCGGAAUUACUGGGCGUAAAGCGCACGCAGGCGGUCUGUCAAGUCGGAUGUGAAAUCCCCGGGCUCAACCUGGGAACUGCAUUCGAAACUGGCAGGCUUGAGUCUUGUAGAGGGGGGUAGAAUUCCAGGUGUAGCGGUGAAAUGCGUAGAGAUCUGGAGGAAUACCGGUGGCGAAGGCGGCCCCCUGGACAAAGACGAUGGAUUGGUGCCUUCGGGAACUGUGAGACAGGUGCUGCAUGGCUGUCGUCAGCUCGUGUUGUGAAAUGUUGGGUUAAGUCCCGCAACGAGCGCAACCCUUAUCCUUUGUUGCCAGCGAUUAGGUCGGGAACUCAAAGGAGACUGCCAGUGAUAAACUGGAGGAAGGUGGGGAUGACGUCAAGUCAUCAUGGCCCUUACGACCAGGGCUACACACGUGCUACAAUGGCGCAUACAAAGAGAAGCGACCUCGCGAGAGCAAGCGGACCUCAUAAAGUGCGUCGUAGUCCGGAUUGGAGUCUGCAACUCGACUCCAUGAAGUCGGAAUCGCUAGUAAUCGUGGAUCAGAAUGCCACGGUGAAUACGUUCCCGGGCCUUGUACACACCGCCCGUCACACCAUGGGAGUGGGUUGCAAAAGAAGUAGGUAGCUUAACCUUCGGGAGGGCGCUUACCACUUUGUGAUUCAUGACUGGGGUGAAGUCGUAACAAGGUAACCGUAGGGGAACCUGCGGUUGGAUCACCUCCUUACCUUAAAGAA
rnacentral:rRNA from 1 species